GCCUCCUGAGCCACUGGGAUUACAGGCAUUCACCACCAUGCCCAGCUACUUGCUACCCCUUUUAAAACUCUCUCCAUAAGAAGACUUUUUUCCUUAUUUCCUUAAAUAAUGCCAUAAUUGCCGCCACCAUUUGCUGUCCUGAAGAACAGGUGGGUAAUGACAGUUGGACAUUGAGGAUGGGGGACGAUCACCA
rnacentral:lncRNA from 1 species